ACCUGUCCUGGCAUAUGUGCUAUAUGUUGCUUCAAUCUCGUAAUGCCGCCUCUUAUUAUUUCUCUACAAAGUUCACAACGAACAUUGUUUCUAUUUCCAGGUACCGGUGUUCCAAAGUGCCAUCCAAUAUCAUCACUUGGAGCACCCUCUAAUCUUUUUGUAGGAAAUGCUUCUCUUGAUGGCAUUGUGUAUAUUUAAUCGUACCU
rnacentral:lncRNA from 1 species